rnacentral:tRNA from 1 species
AGUCCCGUAGUUCAAUGGCAAAACAGCCGGUUUAUACCCGGUAUUAACACUAGAAAAGUGUGAGUUGUAGGUUCGAGUCCUACCGGGACUA